UUGCCAGACUCCUACGGGAGGCAGCAGUGAGGAAUAUUGGUCAAUGGCCGGAAGGCUGAACCAGCCAAGUCGCGUGAGGGAAUAAGGCCCUAUGGGUCUUAAACCUCUUUUGUCAGGGAGCAAAGGCGUCCACGUGUGGACGAGAGGAGAGUACCUGAAGAAAAAGCAUCGGCUAACUCCGUGCCAGCAGCCGCGGUAAUACGGAGGAUGCGAGCGUUAUCCGGAUUUAUUGGGUUUAAAGGGUGCGUAGGCGGAGUGUCAAGUCAGCGGUAAAAUUUCGGGGCUCAACCCCGUCGUGCCGUUGAAACUGACGCCCUUGAGUGAGUGAGAAGUAUGCGGAAUGCGCGGUGUAGCGGUGAAAUGCAUAGAUAUCGCGCAGAACUCCGAUUGCGAAGGCAGCAUGCCGGCUCCACACUGACGCUGAGGCACGAAAGCGUGGGUAUCGAACAGGAUUAGAUACCCCAGUAA
rnacentral:rRNA from 1 species